rnacentral:misc_RNA from 1 species
CCCUGUGGGAGCCUGCUCGCGAUGACUGAGUGUCAGACGGCAUCGAUGUUGCCUGUAAUACCGCUAUCGCGAGCAGGCUCGCUCCCAC